rnacentral:rRNA from 1 species
CAGACGGGUGACUGCAGUCGAGAAUCAUUCACAAUGGUGGAAACCCUGAUGGUGCGACGCCGCGUGGGGGAAUGAAGGUCUUCGGAUUGUAAACCCCUGUCAUGUGGGAGCAAAUUAAAAAGAUAGUACCACAAGAGGAAGAGACGGCUAACACUCUGCCACCAGCUGCGGUACUACAGCUGUCUCAAGCGUGCUUCGGAAUGACUGGGCGUCAGGUGUGCGUAGGCUGUUGCGUACGUCGUGUGUGAAAGGCGCGGGCUCACCCGCGGACGGCAGAUGAUACUGCGAGACUAGAGCAGUGGAGGAGGAUGCGGAAUGCGCGGUGUAGCAGUGAAAUGCGUAGAUAUCGAGAAGAACACUCGUUGCGAAGGCAGGUUCCUGGACAUUAACUGACGCUGAGGCACGAAAGCCAGGGUAGCGAAAGGGAUUAGAUACCCCUGUAGUC